ACUUUAGCUGUAUGACGUAAAGAAAUCAAAAGGCGAACUAUUUCAUUUUUAUUUUGUAUUUAUGAAAUAUUGUUUUAGCGACACGUAUUUUGUAAAAGUAAUAUUAAAUGGCGCGUAAACAACAAGUUUCAAUCCAAGAGACCGUCGACAACAAUGAGGACUUCGCGAACUAUCUCGAGGUUCAUUUCGAACAGCUGAUAUGUAUGGAGGUGUACUCGGAGUUCUGUGGCCCUUGCCUGGCAACAGGCAACGCCAUCAGGAAGGGCAAAUUGGAGAUUGGUGAAGACCGUAUCGCUAUGGUCAAGGCGUGUGCUGAUAAAAUAGACGCACUGGAAAGGUUCAAGAACCACAGUGAGCCAGUAUUCCUCUUCAUUGUGCGUGGAAAACUUACCCGUGCCAUGUUCGGACCCAAUGGCAUAGACCUCUGUCGUAUCAUAGAGGAAGAGCUGAAGUUUAUGGAGAAAGAAAGUCAAGGGAUUGUCCUGGACAGGCCCAAGCUGGAGAUUCAUGAAAUGCUCCCUGAAGAAGCGGCAAAAUUAGAAGAGAAUCUUAAAAUUGAAGAGGAGUAUCGCGAGGCGGCUGAGAGGCUUCGCGUGUUGACGUUGGCUGCUCGCAAGAAGCGAGUGAACGAACGCCUGUCGCAGAGCAUCAAGCGGCUGAACUUCAUCAUGUUCUGGCCUCACUGCCACCAGGCGCACUACGACCUCUACGAAAAAUGGGACAUGAUCAAUAUAACUGUGGCCGCCAAAGAUACGUUCCAGUUGACCGAGAAGACUGCGCGGGAGGCGCUGUACAUGAGCGACGUGGACACCAACGAAGCGUGUCUCCACGCCCUCCUGAACGGCAAAGUCCUGGUUGUGCUAUUCAAAAUGUUUGACACUGAUACGCGAGAUUUCGUUAAACUGAUGCGCUACGCUUUAUAUGAAGAGAUUCCUGUCCCCAAGGAGGACGUGCCUCCUGAGAAACAAGUUCCUCUGGUACCAGCUUACGAGCGCUACGCUACAAUCAGCAAAACUGCCAGAGAGAUCCGUCGAGACCGAUACAACGCUAAACUGCAGAAAUUGAAAGAAGAAAGAGAAGAGAUGGAACGUCUUCAAGCUGAGCAGGAUCGGUUGGCGCGUGAGGCUGAGCAAGAGGCAAUCAGGCUGGAGAAACAACGGAAAGACGAAGAAAGGAUGGCGCGACUGGCUGCUGGGUUACCAGCUGAACCAGAGCCUGAGCCUGAACCGGUAGCGGCUCCACCAGAGGAGGGCGAAGCGGGGGAACCUAAAGAAGGAGAGGAAAAAGUGGAAGGUCAGGAAACUGAACAAGGGACAACGGCUGAGGGUGGGGCCACAGAGACUGCAUCAGAAGUAGCCACUACAGUCACGGAAAUGACUCCAGGAGACGAAAAUCCUGACGAAAUACCCGCAGAGGAACAAGUUGUAGAGAAAAAGGAAGAAGAGUUUAAUUCAGACGUUGAAAUAGAGGGGGAGGAUUACAUCCCUCCAGGAGGGUUAUUCGUACCUGGACUGUACACCCCACCUAAUGAGCUAGCUAAAUCAAAUGGACUAGCACUUUUCUAUCCUAAGCAAGUCACGGCAUUGGCAGAGACGAUAGAGACGGAGUACCUGCCACCCCACGUACUCGUCAUAUUCGCCAUUGACAAGCGACAUGACGUGCAGGAAGUUGUGAAACAGUACACGUCCGAGAUCUUAAAUAUGGGCAUAUUUGUCGGCGAGGAUCCAUACAACGCAGAGCACAUAGCUUACAGCAUCAAGCAGUAUGACAAGAUGGAACGGCCAAGGAGAUACUACGACCGGCUGGCGCUGAUGGUGUCCCGCAAGCGGAGCUUACCACUGCUGCAGCUGGCGGGGCUCAAUCCGGUCUACAUCAGCGCUGACGUCAUCAGCGGGGAGCGGGAGUGCCUGGCCAUGUUCCCCGUUGGAUACGGAGACGACUACGUGGAAAUUGAGAGCGUCAAAGAAGAGGAAGUGGUGGAAGUGGUGGAAGCCGCACCAGAAGUUACAGAGGCUCCGGAAGCUACCGAAGAAAAAGCUCCAGACGAAGAGGACGAGGAGGAGGAGGAGGGCGGCGCUUGAACCAUUCAUUGCAGUAUUGUUCAUCAACAUCACGGCGUGCAUAUCAUCAGGAAAACACUACGAUUGGCAAAAUGAAAAAGUUCGGGGACCCCUUUUCAGUACUUACUUUGCAACAGAGAAAAAUUCAAAAGUAAGAAAAAUUAAAAACCUCGUAAAAAAGUAUCAAGAAAUGGGUUUACACGGACUCCCUAUAUCGGACAAAGUUGUUAAAAAGUGGACGGAUUGGUACAACGACUACAAGAAAAAAACGAAAGACAUUGACUUCUUCACUGCGGCAAACAGGAACAGGCUUAAGGCAGAGCGCGAUGCCGACCCGGGCUGGCCUACCGAACUUCAAUGGCAAGAUCUCGGCGUAGGUCUCGGUGGAACUCCGCCCCCACCAUGGGCGUACGUUAUGAAGAACAACGGCCUGCCUCAGGCUUGUAUGACACCAAUUCAAAAGGAAAACAGAUGCGCUAAUGCCACAUGGCAAUUAGUUAAACAGGGGGGGUAUGCGUAUCAUCCAUAUAGAGGAGUUUGUGUAUUCAUCGAAAGUUACUUUUGUCAGUACAAUAUUAAUUUUUUUCACGCCAAAGAGUACUGUGAAGAAUAUUGUGGUGUUGCUAUGCCAUUAUCAUUUUGUAAUAUGGAAACCGGAACUCCUAUAGACUAUACUUAUAUUUAUGACCAGAAAUAAAAAUUAC